rnacentral:rRNA from 1 species
AUGUCCAUGGGAGAAUACCUUGAUUCUCAUAGUCUGCAUUUAUUUGCAGAAUACUUACAGCGUCACAUCGAAUCUCCUGAAGCCAGUUCUUGUCUGACCAGUAGACGAAAGCCAUUCACUGUGUUGAAGCCAAUCUGCUUGAACGUUAUGUCUUUAGAGAAGUCUGCACGGAAAGGUGGGAGGCAACGCCAUGGCAACAUUGCACUUGAUUUGCCUGAUGAUCUGUACAAUCUAUACAAGUCUGACCCAGAGGAGAGUUACACCCAGCGCAAGAACCGGAUCCAGUGGAUCAGAAGAUAUUGGGAAGAGCAAUGGUUCAAAUACAAGUUUGUGACACCUGAAUAUGCUGAAAAGAAUGCCAUCAAGCGCCCGUGGGGUGACUAUCUAUACCGUGGCUUGGUGCCAAAGAACAAGGAUGGAGCUAUUGCUCAAGGGUUCUAUCCCUGUAAGGCCAGAGGACCACAGCCUGCGAAUGCCGACCCAUCUUCUCCCUUAUGGUGUCGUGAAGACAAUCUUUUCAAGUGCAACUACCAGUUUGCAAAAGAUUCUGCUAUCAAAAAUCAGAAGGAGUUUGGCCUCAACUUCAACCCUGGCCCCACCACUCCAAGACCUGAUGGGACUCGUGAAGCAAAUGAGAACAGGAUUGGCCCCUUUGCCAAUUUUGACAGGCUUCUGUCUCAUAUUGCUGCCCAAAGAGCUGUUGUGGAGCAAUCUGCUGGAGAAGCUGAUUCUGAAGAUGCUCCCUCACCACCAAAGCAGAAGAAGAAAAAAGCAAAAGCUUCAAGGCCAUCUGCUUCACCAAAAGCUUCAACCAAGAAGCCUCUGAAUGCUGCACCGCCUGAAUCCAGUGUGCAAUCUGAAGAUUUAUCUCGUGUGUCCAAGAGGACCAAGAAGCCAUUACCCAAGAAGGCCACUGGGCAACCUCUCACUCCUUUUGCUAUUCUGCGCAAUGAGGAUGACACCAUUGAUCUGUCCGGCGAUGAAGAUCUUGGUGAUGAUGCCCUUGAGAUGCUAAGCAAGAGCAAGCAAGAGGCAGAAAUCUUCAAUGAUCCGCCCCUCUUUGAUGUUGACAUUCUUAACAACUUCAUUGAUGAGUGGUUCAAUGACCAGAGCACUAGCAUUGAUGAUCUUCAGCUUCCAGUGGACAUCAGCGUCACAUUUCAUGGAGCCAUUGCAAAUGAGUUGGCCUUGGCUCAAAAGAUUGUUGAGCUCAAGAAUAAAAUUGAUUAUGAGAAGGCUCACUUCAAGAAGAACAUGGACAAGCUCAGCGUGGCAGAUGUUCAAAUCUUCAAAAAAAUGCUGCAUGACCUCAAGGAAGAGUUUCACAAGAAGCGCAAUGAGGCUAAAGGCUCACAAGAGCGCAUGAAGUACUUCACCUAG